AGUACAAUCAAAGGAGUAUUUCCGGGUUCAAUACAAGUUGAGCUUAAUCGACAACAUUUGUUGCAUAAUGUUGAUUACAAAAAAAUGGACUCAUCCUUCACGGAAAAGGAUACUAUUGAGGGUUUAUGAAGCGGCAGUAAGCGGGACUGCAAACUCCAGCCUACUGAAAGGAACAGAAGAGAAGCUAAGCGACAGCAUGAGCCCACAGCCACAGCUAGGGCUAGGCUGACCCAGCACAACCCGACCCAGCAUGCACUGCUCUCUCCUCAGGAUGCCCAAUGUCACUCUAAGAAAGAGGGAGGGGGAGCUUGAGAAAUGUAAAUGGCCAGUGCUCCAUCACCGGUCCAUCUCAAGGAGCUUAGCGACUGCGGUUGCUUUCUUUCACGAGGACACAGCGAGCCACUCAGUCCCUCAGGCAACAGGGAGCACUUUUCAGCUCCCAUAUAAAACAUCCUCCCCCUUUACCCUUUCAGAACGGAGUGACACUACAAAAUUAACUCAAGGGCAAGAGAGGCAGCCCAUCCAUUCAUCGUGAGAUUCACUCAAGCUGCAGAUUGCCGUUUCUCUCUAGAGAAAUGGUGGAGAGAACGGGGUCAUGGAAGGUCAGCUCACACACCUCCUGGCUGUGGAGAGGAAACCAGGAGCCCAGUGUCAGCAGGAGGAAAAACAGAAUGAGAGCUUGAAAAACAGGAUGAGACACGCUUGUGCUUAAGGUACUCAAUGAAGAGUCUAAAGUGUCUGUGAACCUCCUUAUUGAAGGAGACAGUCUGUUUGAGCAGGAAGUCCAGAGGUGAAAUGGAUCCACCGUAACAAAAAGGGUUAAAGCCUGGAAAAUUUGGUAACUCUUCACGUCUUCAUCUAUUUAUAUCCAUCUCUUCACAACUUACUCACACUCUGAGUGUUUGGAGCUGCCUGGAACAUCCAGGAUUGUCUUCAAGUGAUGGGCCACUCUGGCCUUCCGCACGUCCCUCAGAUCCCCCGUUACGCCUACAAAACUUCCUGGUCCCUUGACAGUCAGAGGACCAGAGUGGGCCCAUCUAUCAGUGCAGCCUCGACUUUGAUCACACUUCAAACCUGAGGCCGGUUGCGGGGGAUUAACACAACCCCACUUCGCUUUUGAAGUGCCAUUCAGUGGCUCAGAUGGCAGAGAAGGGGAAUUAAUGUUGUGUGUGUCCUUUAUAACACAAAGUCUCCUUUAACAGCUCACUGAAGAUAUCCGACCUCAAUCUUCUUUCUUAACCAACUAGCAAAACAGAGCUUUGGCAAAACUGAACCACCCUCUGUAUCAGUCCCUGGUGCACACCAGAAACUCUCUACAGAUGCAUACAGUCAAUUAACAGAUCUUGUUGGUCAAGGGAGUAACAGGCAGACAGUGAACGUUCAUCUAUCUGUAUAACGUUCUCUCCACUCCCUGAACUGUAUCUUAUGAUGCCACACUUUACCAAACUAAUUGUGGAUCUUCCUAUAAUUGAGACCUUGUAAAGCUGAGACCUUAUAAAGCGACCUUAUUCCGCUGAGCAGCACUGGACUGGCAGUUGAGGAUAACGUACAUUGGAGAUACAAUCCAGAUAAGGUAUUGUUUCCCUCUUCCCAAGAACUUAACCAUGCAUAAAUUUACUCUCAUAAAGUUACCAGUGACAAACUGCCUUGUUACCACUUAUCCUUUCAAGACAUUCAGACGUGACAACCCCAGAUCUUUACCCUUUCAAAAAUAUGACUGGUGGAGUUUCUACAAUAUAAGUUUUAUGAUAAUGUUUAUAUAUAUAUAUAUAUAUAUAUAUAUAUAAAAAACAAACAAAAAAUAAAUAAAUAAUUUUUUUUCCCACAUGCAAGGUCAGUAUACACCUUAUACUUUGGGUAAUUUACAAAUAAAUGUGGCUCAUUCAGUAAUUUUUUUAAUGUCUUCUGUUUUUAACUUAAAGGUGCAUUAAGCAAUUUCUGAAAAGGGCUGUUGAAAGUGGAUCGGACUGAGCACAACAAACUUGUAGCCAAUCAGCAGUAGGGGACGUAUAAACUCAUGAUGGGGUAAGAGAGAGAGUGAGCAAGAGGGGGUUUGAAGAAAGACUGUUUAAAGAGAGAUGGCUGAGAGACAUUACAAAAGAGAAAAGGUCAGAUGAAUAUCACUGUAAAAAGAAGGGUUAUGAUCGGGCAAGAGUUUUAGGACCCCUUCUAGUGCUGGAGAGACCUAAGCUGGAAGGCCUGAGAACGGACACUGAGGUUGCAGUGUUUCUGCUCCAUACGUAAAUAACAUUGGUUUUGAGUGUGUUCUGCUAGUGACUAAAAACGAAUUCUUGCUUCUACAUACUCAUAUGUUAAUUUUUGUUCUUCCUUGUUGUUCGCUCAUCAUCUUUGCUUUAUUUUUCACAAAGCAUUAUUUUGCAAAAGAGAUAUCCACUCUUGCAUUGCGUGUUCGUGCAUUUUGGGGGCAGAGCAAUGAAGGGAGGGGUGUGUUUGUUUGGACUGAUUUCAAGUAUCAACAGUGUUCAACAAGGAUUCUCAGAAAUCGCCUACUGCACCUUUAAGCACUAAAAUAGUCGCUUCAUCCAAAUUAAAAAUAAGAAAACCAGAUUAGAUGUACUUUUAUUUUUUUUAAUACUAAAUUCAUGGCAAUAUCAAAAUAACAUAGGUAUAAUAUAUUUUGGAAACACUAAUAUGGGGAAAAAUUCUCACUUUUAACUAGUGGCUUAUUAGCUUGCAUAUUGGCUGUUUAUUAAUACUUAUAAAGCACAUAUUAAUGCCUUAUUCUGCAUGACCAUAUUCUACAUUCCUAAAUCCUACCCCAUACCUAAAAAAGCUACAACAACUACCUUACUAACUAAGCAGUAAAUUAAGAGUUUAUUGAGGCAAAAGUCAUAAUUAAUAGUGAAUGUAUGUUCCCCAUACCAAAGUGUUACGUAUAUUUCUUUUGGAAAAAUGGUGGGUGGUGGGGUGGGUGGGCAGAAUUCCCCCCCUUAGGUGAUUCUUAGGGGGGCAUUUUUUGACUUUUUUUUUUAAAUUACAUUUAUCUAAUCUAAAUGUUUGCUCACUCAUUGUAUUUGUGUUUUUACAAUGGGGUAAUUUUGUUGCUCAACAACUCUUACACAACAAGGAAGCUUGAUAUCAAUCUUUGAAUUAAAAAAAAAAAAAGUAGCAUGACUAAAUACAAUAGAAUAAAGAUACGAAUGAAAUAAACAGAAAUAAAGAUAAACGUUUUUUGGGUAGGUCUAACACUAGUAUUCAGGUAUAGAAACACUACAGAAACUGAAUAAAGUAAUAAAUUGUAAAAUAACACUGGAUAGACUUUUAGUCCUUAUAAAUUAAAUACAUAGGCUAUUAAUCCUGAUUCCUUACAAUUAAAGCUAUAUUUGAUUGUUUUAUCAACAUUAAUGACAGACACAUAUUAGGCUGCUGUCACUUUAAGAGCUAGUGCACUGAUCCAUUAUACUGUUACACAUGCAUUUUCUUUCUCAACUGUUUAUGUUUAUUUAAGACAUAACCAAUUAAAUUAUGUGUGUACAUUUUCUAUGUUGAUGUGUGUGUAUAUUAUCUAUCUAUCUAUCUAUCUAUCUAUGGGUUUAAUUCCAAUAAUAUUUUGGUCAUAUGGUCAUACCACCACCAACCAGUCAAAUUUUAGAAAGGGUCAAGAGCAGGGCAGGUUAUACGGCACAGAGCUGGGCCAACCAUCUCAAUGUCAGGGCCAGAUGCAACAGGUGGCCAUGGAUGGGUGGCCAGACACAUCUAGGGUUUGGGAUCACCGCACAGGCAACUGAAUGGGGAUCAUUAACUCACAACAGCCUCCCCAUUCUCAAGUCUCUUGCGUGGCCUCCACUUGGUGGUCUUGUUGCCAAUAUCUUGAACAGGAUAUUGUCCAAUACCACCAGGUGCAAUAAUGUGCUUAUGCAUGGCCCAUUAACAAGACUCAUUUCAGAGGGAAAGUAAAACAAUACUGAGCAUUGGGGCUGCGUGCCUCAACACAUACAUAAUGACACAUAUAACUGCACCAAAAUGUCUUAUCAACAUAUCAUUAACUGAAGCGCACACUGUUGUGUUUGUUAAUCAAACUGACGCUUGCACAAUCUCAAACUCGCUGCUUUUACCAUCAGUGACUAUUGCAAAAAUAACUUCUCAUUAUUUACAUUGGCAACGUGAGUUUGAGAGAAUGUUGCACAGCAAUACUUGCUGGUUAUGAAAGCAUUCUUGGUAAACAAAGGUCAACAGGUUGAACUCACUAUAUUACCAAACCCUGGCAGUAAAGCAAACUUAAAAUCAUAGUAGUUUUAUAAAAUAUAACUUAAUGAUGAAGAAACUGCCUCAAACUUAUAAGCAUGAACA